CUUAGUAAAAUAUGUUCUGGAUAAGACAAGUUAGUUAGAUGAAGGCUAGGCGUUCUAGGACUCUCUAGCUAGCUAGUAUAGCUAUGUAGCUGGAUUGCUUGGCACCUAGGAAGGAUCUUCAAAGAAAUAAAGAGACAAAGACUCCCGUCGCUCAAAUGGUGGUGGUAAGUGUCGGAGGCCUGAGAAACGCUUGUCUAUUGGCUAGAAUGUUGUUAUGGAAUGUUUAUGAGGACAAGUGGCACGGGAUACGUACAUCUAAAGAAACAAGAGUGGAUCUACGCCAAGCUAGCUAGCUAGAUAGCUGCUCUUUCUAAUCUAUUUCUGUUGCUAAAUUAUGUUUGUUAAGAAGUGGAGCUAUAAUAUACCUGGCUCCUCUUGAUGAUUGUAAGUACUGGGCUGAUGAAAUAGUCCUGUACAAGUUGUCAUCUUUUAUUUGUUAAAAAUAAUUAACAAUAAUAGGGAAAUUCCCAGGGAAUUUCCCCUCACGUAGACAGUAAAUUUCAUUGUAAAAAAUGAACGUUCGGUGAGUUUCUUCAACGUC